GAGCGGCCGAUGUCGGAUUAGCUUGUUGGUGAGGUAAAGGCUUACCAAGGCGACGAUCCGUAGCUGGUCUGAGAGGAUGAUCAGCCACACUGGGACUGAGACACGGCCCAGACUCCUACGGGAGGCAGCAGUGGGGAAUUUUGGACAAUGGGGGCAACCCUGAUCCAGCCAUGCCGCGUGAGUGAAGAAGGCCUUCGGGUUGUAAAGCUCUUUCGGCCGGAAAGAAAGCCUACCCCCUAAUACGGGGCGGGGUUGACGGUACCGGCAGAAGAAGCACCGGCUAACUACGUGCCAGCAGCCGCGGUAAUACGUAGGGUGCGAGCGUUAAUCGGAAUUACUGGGCGUAAAGCGUGCGCAGGCGGUUGAUUAAGCUUGCUGUGAAAGCCCCGGGCUCAACCUGGGAAUGGCAGUGAGGACUGGUCGACUGGAGUGUGGCAGAGGGGGGUGGAAUUCCACGUGUAGCAGUGAAAUGCGUAGAGAUGUGGAGG
rnacentral:rRNA from 1 species